rnacentral:tRNA from 1 species
GAAAAUGAAGAUCUCGAAGCUGCUAACUUUGAGUUUUGCAAAUUUGUAACAUUUUCU